UACAGAGGUCUCGAGCGUUGUUCGGAUUCAUUGGGCGUAAAGGGUGCGUAGGUGGCGCUGUAAGUCGGGUGUGAAAUCCUGGGGCUUAACCCCGGAACUGCAUUCGAUACUGCAGUGCUUGAGGACUGGAGAGGAGACUGGAAUUCAUGGUGUAGCAGUGAAAUGCGUAGAGAUCAUGAGGAAGACCGAUGGCGAAGGCAAUCCCCUGGACCUGUACUGACGCUCAUGCACGAAAGCGUGGGGAGCAAACAGG
rnacentral:rRNA from 1 species